rnacentral:misc_RNA from 1 species
CAGGGAACAACUGCAGCUAUAAGAUCCUCAAACACACGUUGCGAGUAGUUGUCAAUCUGAGUAACAGUUGAUUCUCCAAUAACAGUAAGUAUAUCCAAUAUAUGUUCCAACAUCUUGUCUGGAAUGACCUUUAUAAUUGAGGAUAACAGUGAGAAUAUAUGGUUGCGCGUGACCCCAUCCUUUGCAGAACGGGAACACUCAACCAACAUUUUGAUGUCUAUUUUAUUUGGUAUGUCAUCCUUUAGUGGGACAGUUUUUACAGAUGAAGCAAUAAUAUCUUCCAGUAUUAAUAAGAGCGCAUGCUGAAUGU